rnacentral:lncRNA from 1 species
UCUGCUUCCAGUGCAGACAGAAGACUUCCCAGCACCAGAAAGGCAAGCUGUACUGUCCCAUGCCUUCUGCCUCAAGGGAGCCUGGUGCCAAGCCAAGUGUCUUCUACAUGGAAUGAUGUCUAUGGACUAGGAAAUAGCGGUGGAGAAUUCAGAGACAUUUUGGAACAUGAUUUCAGUUGGGAAUUUAUCGAGAGUUCAAUUGAACCAUUUGAUGAAAACCCCAAAAAAGAACCCAUUGUGGAAUCUAAACAGAAAAAGCCAUCAGGAGAAAAUCCCCAGGUUAAUGCAGUGAGGACUCUGGCUGGGCAGGCCAUCCUGGCUGUCAACAGCAGUGGGACCGGAGCAGCCUACUUAGGAAUUUGGUCGAUAAGGAGAACACAACAAGAUAGUGGCAAGUAUCUCCACUCUACCUUCACAAGACUUUAUUCUACAUGCUUUGGUGGCGGAAUAUUUCUGGGAUGCUAUGGCUGGAUUUUCACUCGAUCCCCAAGCUCCUGACCAUUGUGUUUGGGCUACACUUCAUUGGACUGGGCUUGCCAAGGAAACAAAACAAUGCCGUCCAGGGAUCAUGCUCAGGACGGCCCUGAUCCUCUCUGCCCUGUGUGGCCUGGCCGUGGCUUUCCCGGCUCUGCCCUCCGAAUUAACUGCUGACAUACCAGAAUGGAUCUCUGAUCUAGAGCUGACCACUGGCGCAGACUUAACCACAGACCUAGCGGCAGUCACAGAUGGAGUCUCCACCACGGAGCUGGACCCGACUGGGGACACAGAGUCCACCACAGCUGAGUAUCGGGAGAGCACACAGACUGUCGAAUCUGCUACUUUCGAGGAGUCAGCCACCUCCAGCCUUGUGGGAGAAGCUACUGAGACCACAGUUUACUACGACACUUUUCAGACAGAGAGCUUUGUGACUGAUGACCAUGGUUUUAAUUAUUCUGAUGAGCAGGGUGAAGCAACUGAUCAGAACAACAGCUCUGAAGAAAGCGAUGAAUCCUUCUAAAUGGAUAUUUAAAACGAAGUAUAUUCUUCAUGAGAUCUGAAGCUCACUCUUCUGUCUAGCACUUUCUAAGAAGAUUCUGAGCUGUAGAACAAGCCUAGUGUCAGCAGAUAGGAGAUGGCACAAAUGUAGAACGCUGGUGAACCCAAGUAUGCCCAGCUGAGGAGAAGCAGCAAAGCACUGCUCCUGGGUGGGUGUGGUGAAUUCUACACAACCGGGGGAGGAGCACUUUGUAGUUGUGUGCCUUUUAAUAUGGGCUCAAUAAAUGUUAAUCUGAAUUUAAUUUUCA